CCCGGAAGUAUUUUCUUUCUGGUGGUGGGAAACUCUUUGGAGUUUUGUUUCCGUUUUCUUUGGAAGUUCGUGUGUCGACGGCGUGGUUGGCCUGCUGUGAAUAGGUGAAGAAUCGGUAUUUUGCAACUGGUCCUGUAGUCUGGGACGAAAAUGCCACGAGAAAUAAAGGAAAUCAAGGAGUUCCUUUUGAAAGCGAGGAGGAAAGAUGCAAAAUGUAAG